CUCUAUGCCUAUACCAUCCUGAACACACUGAUCUCAUCUGAUCUGGGGAGCUGUGCAGGGUUGGGCCCGGUUAGUACUUGAAGGGGAGAGUUAGGGCUGGCUGAGACA
rnacentral:rRNA from 1 species